CCUGGCGCGAAAGGGUGAGCGCACGCCCGAGGGUGAGGCAGGAGGAGCAGUAAGAGAGAGGAAGGGAGAGAGAGAAACUUCAAUGCAAGAGAGAAGCACUGACUGGCCGCCUCUCACAGAAACUGUGACAGUCACCAACUUGCUGAAGUGCUGACAAGAUGGGGUGGAGUCACCGUCGGUCUGGUCUCCCCGGUCAGCUGCAACUGCUCUUCCCACCUGUCACAUCCGGCCAGGCCUGCUCCUCUCGGCAGCUGCAGUCCUAGUGCUCUUGACAGUGAUGCCCUCGGCCAGCAUCUGCCUGUACCAAACACACACACGCACAGGCACAGGGCCAGCGCUUCCAUCUACUCAGAGAACUGACUUCCAGAGGUCUCAUCAUCCGACUUCUUCAAUGAGUCCAAGGCUAAUGUGAGCUUCCCAUGUGGACUGGAGACUAAGGACUCGCCAAGCCCAAGGCCACCCUGUGACCACUCCUCGGGGUGGAGACACAACCUCCGGCCUCCCACCUUCUAGAUGUAGGCCUGUGAGCUCCCGCCACUCCAGGAUGAAGAAGCCGGAGUUGGCUUGUCCGUGUGUACUUUCACCUGGAUGUGGGUGGAGUGCAGCUGGGCCCAGUGGGACUCACACUUCCCCGUGGGGACUGAGGAGUAUCUCCAGCCACUAACUGAGCACACAGAAGUCCCCGAGUCCCAGUGAUGACAUGAUGGUAAAAACAGCUCAGCAGAGACUCGAGUGGGGGGGGCUACUCCCCACAAACCAGGCCCGCAGAAGAGGGAUGGAGGGUGGGUGCCUGUUGACCAAAGCUCACAGGCAGGACUGCUUUCUCCUGGGGUCCACGGAAGGGAGGCCUGGCUGGGCAGCGCUGCACUGACUGGGCUGAGGGCAAGGGCACGAGAUGGCUGUUCCCUGCCAACCGUAUUAAAGCUGAGAGUGCCGCACACCUCGUGAAGGGUCCAGAAGUCUGCCUUCAUCCAGAAAGUCUAACUGCCCUACGUCUCCAAGUACAGCUCCAAGCUCCAAGCCAGCCCCCAGCUUAUGAUGGCUGACUUGUAAUUUUUCCACUUUAUGAUGAUGCAAAAGCAAUACAAAUUCAGCAGAAAUCUGGAAUUCUGGCCUUUUCCUGGGCUAGUAUCUGCAGUGUGACCCUCUCAUGGUGCCAGGCAGCAGGUGAGCCGCAGCUGCCCAUCAGCUGCGUGACCAGGGGGUCAGCAACCACUAUACACACGGCACCUGUCCUCGCUGUCAGGCCGUUCUGCCCAGCUGCUGAGCACAGUGAAGGUGGCCUGGCUGAUUCUAAUGCUCUGCAGGAUAGUGUGUGACAUGCAGUUUUGACUUACACUCUCAACCAAGACUGAGUCUACCGGGAUGUAUCCCCACUGUCGGUCGAGGGGCAUCUACAAUCAAACUGACGUGAUACCACCGAGAAAUGAGGCACAAGGAACACGGAGUGUAUUCAGCAAAAGCAUGUAUUCAAUCACUUACCAGAAAGUGGUUACAAAGUAAGGCACUCCAAACUUUAUGGUUUCUCGGGGUUAUAAUUUCCGGCUGCUUUCAGUACUAUUUCAGAGGAAAGCAUGUGGACCGGGAUGGCCUUCCGGACAGCCUGGUGAGGGCUCUGUGUCUCGUGAAAGGUGAGUCACUGUGUUUAAUGAUCUCCACCUCCGCUUUCUGCUCAGCAACCUACACUAGCUGAUUUUACGUAUGUACUAGCUACUGUGUUAAAUACAAAGUUUGAUAACGUGGAUUACAAAGUUUCUUCUAUGAAUUUUAAGUCAAAGUUUUAAGGCUGCUUUAAAAUACUAAGGAAUGUUUAGUAAUACUUUAACUGCUGUGAAAUGCCCAAGAAGUCAGAGAAAUAAAGACUAUAGACUGUUUGGGUCAGUCUCCCAGUUUUGUGGAAAUGUUAUUCCUAGCGUGGCUCUCCUCAGUGAAGACCUGGAGCGCUGCUUUGGCCGCCCUCAUCUACACCGGAACUUUAUCUGACAGUAAGAGAGCAGCAGGAGUGUGAAUACCGAACACGUGGCCUCUUUUAUGUGCCUGUUGGCCUACUUUCCCCAAGCUAAAUGUUUUUCUAGUUCAAAGCCAUCCGGCACCAGGGAGUAUGUUCGGAUUUAAGAAAGGCUGCUCCCACUGUCACUUCAUUGUCUGCUGCCAUCCCUGCCAUGCGCUCAAUCUAUUAGUGAAGCCACGUCUCUUGCUCUGAAAGAAAUGGAGCCAUCAUACAUGGUGCCAGAGGGCACCUGGAGGCCGCCAAUGACUUUAUGAGGAGAUACUUAUAAAGCAAAGUCUCAUGACACAUCCGAGCCAAAGGAGUGUGGCUCAGAGCCGGAGCCAUCCUAUAAGCAAGACAGUCACCAGUGUCUCUGUGUAGUGUGUGGAGAUUCCCUUGGCUGGCCAUGGACACCCCACUUCCCACUGCAGAGCCCCACAGAGGAGCUGCCCAGGGCAUGUGCCUUCCUCCUCCGGGCGGGCACACAGUCCGACAGCAGAAAGAGUCUCAGAGACCCUGUGAGGGCUCCUCGCAGGACACGUGACUGUACACGGGACCUACACUGCUGUCAGGAGGCUGUCGGGAGAAUGAGCAGGGCAGUUCGUGCACCAGCACGCAACUCCCGAGCUGUGUGCUUAGGAAGGUUGUCUCAAAACUCCACUUACAAUUCAGGCUUUCAUUAGAUAACAAUCUUCGUGUUCUAGUAAAGAUACAAAUGUAAAAAUCAUACAGUAAGUGGUCUGAACAUUGACCGUGAAAUCUUUUCAGAUGGGGAAUAAAAAUCCAGAAAUGAUUUUUAAAAAGAUUUCAAGUGAGUUUAGUCCUAAAUGCUUUUCAUCGCAACUGCAGUCAGGAAGUAGGGUCACUACCACAGUGCAGGGCUGAUGCAGAAAGCAGCAGAACUGACGUGUGGGAGCUGGCCCACCCACCCCUGUGGCGUUAGGGGAAAAUGACGAGGGACUGGACGACCCCCCUGCCCCACACACCACAAGUAAAGACAACUUCUUUCCCUGAUUGCUGUGUAAGGCUUGUCAGUGGGGGGGAGGGAAGAAGGCCCGCCGCAGCAGGAGGUGGCGUUAGUGUUGUGGGCUGUCAGUCUGCAAUCAGCUUGCAAACCAAGAAGUGAAAUGUGCACGAUUCCUCCUCAGAGUAACAAUAAGAACAAAA